CGGAACAAUUUGGAUUCAUAUCUUUUAUCAAACAUUAAUAAAAGUAGUUCUAACAAAUAAUAAAAAUAGGACUAAUUGAAAGUUAUGACGUGACUCACAAUUGAGUCUAAAUUUAAAAAUAAUAAUAAUCAACUGUUAAUAAAUAUUCUAGUGUUUCUAAAAAUUAAAGUACUUCAUGAUGGAGAUCCAUUGGUCCAAUAUGCAUCCAUCCACCGCCGUCCAGCAUACUAAUUUCUACCUGAAAAGUGUAAAUAGAGAGGGAUGAGUAUAACGAAUUAUACUCAAUGAGAUAAUUGCUACUCCACAUUCAAAUCAAACAUGAAAUUAUGCAUAAAUUCUCUUACCAACAUAACAUGAGAAUUAUCACACCAUGACAAAUGAUAA
rnacentral:lncRNA from 1 species